GUGAAUCAUCGAAUUUUUGAACGCAAAUUGCACUUUCUGGUAUUCCGGAAAGUAUGCCUGUUUGAGGGUAAGUAAAAUAAAAAUCGGUGUUGUUUCUGCUUUUCGUGGGGAGGGGAGGGAAUGAAGUUGUCUUACUUUGGGUUAAGUGAGUUAAAAUUUUGCAUGAUUUUCGAAAGUAUUUAAAUUUAUUAGGUACAUUUGAGAUAUGGAAUACUUAAUUAGCUUCGGUAUUCUUCAUGAUUGGAACCU
rnacentral:misc_RNA from 1 species